rnacentral:lncRNA from 1 species
CUGGCCCGCACACCUGGCGGGGCCGGCGAGUUGAGAUGCCCCCGCCGGCUGGCGGAACUGUGCGCCCCGCCCGCCGAGGCCCGCUCCCCCUCGAGGCCUGAGGCCCAGUUCUAUAGGGGCGCGAGAGAGCGGCGGCGUGGGGGGCGCGGAGGAAGCGCCGGCCCCCGCCUCCACCGCCUCCUUCGUGGUUGCGGCCCAGGCCGAACAGGGUACCGUGCCCCGGCCGCCUUGGCCUUGGCCACCGCGAGGUCCGGGGCGACUACACCCAGCAGCCCUGUGGCCCUCCUACUGCUCUGGAGACCUGGAGUGGGGUUACAGAGGGAAGCGACUCGCUGCGAGCUCCCCAUCGAAUAUGGAGCCACCAGGUCACGGGACGACGUGCGCUCUACAGAAUGUGAGACAAGGGCCCUCCACACCCAGCCAUUCAGGCCUGAGGUCCUGGCUCCGAGACUGAGGCCGAGACGCGGCAAGCCCCGCGCCGGACCAGCUCUGCCCCUCCCGCACCCACGUGUCUGCGCACAGCCCUCCUUUGCGAUAGAACCCCCUUCCUGGUUCUCCACCACUAAUGAUCUGCCGGAAUUAAACUGGUAACUUUCCCUGCCCUUGAACCGGGAGUUUCGGGAUGAGUUUGCCAAUCCCUGUGCUAUUUGUAACCAGCCCCGUGACACGUGAUACGGAUCCAACUGUGCUAGUUUCCACACCAGGGGUCAGGGCACGGUGGAAGGUGAGUCAAGGGUUCUCUGCCCAAGCGCAGAGGUGCCCUGAGCCACGGGGACUUCCCAGCCCUGCCUUCUCUUCUCAGCUUCCUGUCUGCCUUGCCUGAAACCCUAUCUAGAGUUAAGGCCAAUGGAUGAAACUUUUCAAUGUGCAAGCAAGCACUUUACCUACCUGAUACAACAAGAGAUUCCUGGUCAUGCUCACUGAAGGUCUGCAGCCUCCAAAGCUUCUGAAAUGGGACUUGCUGCUGCUGGUAUCUUUAGAGGGGCAUGUGGUAUCCUGCCAAGGGUGAUUCCUUAGCCUGUCAGUGGCCCAGGGCUCAGGAUUCUACCUGCCUCACAUCUCCUGGAUCCAUCUGCAUGUCUUGGCCCAAUCUCCAUAUCCUCGGUUCUGGCCCCUCCACUACCUGGUUGCCACUGAUGAUUCCAAGGAUUCAGAUCAGCUCACAGUGCUCCAAAAAUAUAGCAAAGUGAAACAAAUGUGCAAAUAAAUGAUAAAAACAAAAGAAGAAAAAGAAAGAAAAGACUUAUUGUAUAUCCUACCUCCUUCAAACAGCUUGCUGUGAUGUGCAUGGUGGUGUGGGAACCUUCUGAUGUCAUACAUACAGGUAACUUACCUAGUUUUGGAUCAGGCAUGGAAACUUGUCUGAGACACUUGGAGAUGACUCCCAAAAUGGUCUGACCCAGAAAUCCAGAAAGGGGCCAUCUGACUGUCCCAGGGUGCUGUACAUGGGGAACAUGCCACCUGGCUGGGGAUCCAGGGAGCAAGGGUCUUCCUGGGUGUGGCAGGUCAUCUCCUCACAGUAACACACGAACACUUGACUUCUCCCACAAAAACUUCUGGCCUAAAAAAUUAAUCAAUACUUAUCUAAACACCUGAGAGCCGAGAGUCUUUGAUAAAUUAAAAGGCAGUUUGGCAGUAAGCCACCUCCUGAAUGCCCCAGAUUUUCAUAAAAGGCCCUUUGUGGAAGCCACAGAAUGCAGGUAAAGCUAGGAUUUGAGGCGGUGCUGAUUGAGAGAAGAUAAAGAGAAAACUACUUUUUAGGGUUUUUUCUUUUUAACUUACCUCAUGGGGUGUUUAAAGAAUUGAAUGAGUACAGAAAACAAGACUUGCUGUAAUUUUGGUUGGAUGUGAUUCCAGGGGAAAUAUUUUUUCUUAAAUGAAAAUAUAAUAGCUAACCCCUACAUAAAGCUUACUAUGUGUUUUUAGGGGUUUACAAAUGUAUUCACUCCUUUGUGUUUCAUAAGAACCCUGUGAAGUGAGUACUGCUGCUGCCCCACUGGACAGGUGCACAGGGAGGCUGGGCACUUGCUCCCUCACCUUGCCAGCCAGGGGCAUUGCCGGAUGGGAAGCGCCAGUUCUCUCUCCUCUCCAGCGGGUGUCUGUGUGCUCUGCCACAGCACCCAUUCAUUCUUUGCAGUUCCAGUUAAAUGCCAUUUCCCCAGUGAAGAUGGGCCCUGGCUCCCCGUUCCCCCUUGUUAUUUUCAUACCUGGCGUUCUGGUGUUUUUCAUUCAGGACACUUACCACAGCCAUAGUUGUUUACUAUUCCUUUCAGACCACUUCUUCCCCACCCUUUGCUGCUUAUACUAUGUGUCACCCUCUCCCCUUCCUGUCACUCUCAUCAUUGGCUUCCGUCUCUACCACUUCAAAUCCUCCCUUAAUCCUACAUGCUUCCAACCUCCAUGUGGUUGAGUGCUAGAGUUUGGGUGUUUUUAUCCCCUCAAAUCUCAUGUUGAAAUUUGAUCCCCGGUGUUGGAGGUGGGGCCUAAUGGGAAGUGUUUGGGUCGUGAGGGUGGAUCCUUCAUGAUUAGAUUAAUGCUCCCCGGGGAAGAUUAAUAGUUCUAGCUCUAUUAGUUUCCAAGAAAGCUGGUUGUUAACAAAAAGCCUGGAGGCCACAUGGUGAUCUGUACAUACCAGGUUUCCUUCGCCUUCUGUCUUGAUUGGAAACAGCCUGAAGCCCUCACCAGAAGCCAGAGGCAGAUGCUGGUGCCAUGCUUCUUGUACAGUCUGCAGAACUGUGAGCCAAAUAAACCUCUUUUCUUUAUAAAUUACCCAGCCUCGGGUAUUCCUUUAUAGUAACACAAACACACUAAGACAAUACCAAUUCAGAAUUCAGGCCUUCUCAUCAACAAAUCUUUCCUCUUCCAACCACCUCAGCCAACACCUCCUACCAGCUCACCCUGGACCAGGGACUACCUGAAACAGCCCCUUCUGCAAAAACAGGAAUUGGAGCAUCUCUUUCCAUCUUGCUUUUCCAGCCAUUCCUGCUACAACUGUCCUUCACUCUAACUAGACCCUUCACUUGUUCCAAUUAACUAUUUUUUCUUUACUUCUUUCUUGUGUAGUUUAGAUUCUAUGCUCUAUCAAUUCAGUAGCAGUCUCUCUGAUAGACUUAAAUUUCAAAGCCUGUGUCUUUGCAUCAUGCCAUCUGGUAAUGUUGCCAUUACCUACUUUUCUGAGCCUGUCCUCAGUAGCUAAGUGCUACUGGUGAACGACCCAACUCUAAAAUUGACUGCUAUCUGUGUAAAUCAAUGUUCACUAAACUGAAGUGGGCCCUCAACAAUGCCUGGCUACCCAACCCCAUUUUGUUCCUAGGCUCACUUUCUGCAUAACUGUUUUCAGCAGGUAGUCCCAAAGUCCAGUGAGCCUUUUUCCCUGCUCAGGUGACAGACACCCUUGAUGGUUCUGAUCCUUGCCUGGCCAGCAUGGUUCUUCAGGGAAGACAACAAGCAAGGGUAAAGCAAGGGUAAAUCCUUGGCCAAGCACACUCCCCCUAUAGUGCCCCUGGCUUGGAGUCCCAGUGUUAUAGCUCUUUAGUUUGCUCUUCAGUGCUUGAUACCUGAAGCAUACUUGCUUCCAGCCCAGGUCAGGGAGCUUCAAGUCUGUGCCAAAGCUGUGCCAAAGCUGAAUCUCCCUUCAUGGUGACUUUUCCCUGAUAUUGGACCCAGGUCAGUGUUCUAAGCUCACUUCACUUCUGAUGAGUUCUUCCUUCAGGGCCCUAGAUAUUUCUUGCUAGAGACCUAAGUCUGAAUUAUCUCCAUCCAUCAGCAUGGCUUAAAAUAAGGAUUGGUGAACUUAUUCUGUAAUAGGCUAGAUAGCAAAUAUUUUAGGCCCUAUAGGUCAUUUGAGUUAUUUGGUCUCUGUUGCAACUACUCACCUCUACCAUCACAGCUAGAAAGCAGCCAUAAACAUAGACAAUAUAAACAAAUGAGCAUGGCUAUGAUUCAAUACAACUUUACUUAUGAACACCAAUAUUUGAAUUUCAUAGAAUUUUCACGUCACAAAAUAUUCUUCUUUUAAUUUUUUUCAGCCAUUGAAAGUAUAAGUUCUCCUAUUCAAGUAGGUGUAGUUAGAAAUAAACAAAAUAAAGUCAUUCUUAGUUCACUGGUCUUACAAAAACAGGAGGCAGCCAGAUUUGGCCCUUGGGCUAUAGCUUGCUCACUUCUGCAAUACUAAUUUGUUGAACUUAAAAAGAAAUAGGGGGUAAAUCUGGCAAGAUGGUGGAGUAGAAAAUACCAGGAAUCUAUCUCCCCACUUAGACAAUGAUUUGCUGGCAGAAUCUGUUUGAUGUAACUGUUUUAUAACUCUGAAAUCUAUUGCAGGCUUAAAAACUUCCAGUGGAAGGUUGGGCAGUAAAUUGCAGUUAC